AGUGAACGCUGGCGGUAGGCCUAACACAUGCAAGUCGAACGGCAGCACAGUAAGAGCUUGCUCUUACGGGUGGCGAGUGGCGGACGGGUGAGGAAUACAUCGGAAUCUACUUUUUCGUGGGGGAUAACGUAGGGAAACUUACGCUAAUACCGCAUACGACCUACGGGUGAAAGCAGGGGAUCUUCGGACCUUGCGCGAUUGAAUGAGCCGAUGUCGGAUUAGCUAGUUGGCGGGGUAAAGGCUCACCAAGGCGACGAUCCGUAGCUGGUCUGAGAGGAUGAUCAGCCACACUGGAACUGAGACACGGUCCAGACUCCUACGGGAGGCAGCAGUGGGGAAUAUGGGACAAUGGGCGCAAGCCUGAUCCAGCCAUACCGCGUGGGUGAAGAAGGCCUUCGGGUUGUAAAGCCCUUUUGUUGGGAAAGAGAAGCAGCAGGUUAAUACCCCGCUGUUCUGACGGUACCCAAAGAAGAAGCACCGGCUAACUUCGU
rnacentral:rRNA from 1 species